CUUCUCCAGUGAGGCAUUGUAGCUGGUGUAGGCUGGGAAUAGCGGGGUCCUCAGUGCACUUUUGAACACAAGAGGUGCUUAGGCACGUGCUUCCACUGGUGUCCACCCACACCAGGGGUCCACCACCCCCACCAGGGGUCCACCACCCCCACCAGGGGUCCACCACCCCCACCAGGGGGUCCACCACCCCCACCAGGGGGUCCACCACCCCACCAGGGGGUCCACCACCCCCACCAGGGGGUCCACCACCCACACCAGGGGGUCCACCACCCACACCAGGGGUCCACCCAAACAGGUGUUCGGUGAGAGAGGUGUCCUUCGGGUGUACAAUGAGUUCGAUGUUCAUUCGGUCAGAUGCGCAUCCAUGCCAAGUGUUCAUCCCAGAGAACGUUCAGCCUGAUGUUCAGCACCCAGGUGUACAUGGAGUUCAGUGUUCAGGGUGAUACAACAGCUGCUUGUUGAACCAAGCGGUAACCAGGACGCUGAAAAGACAGGUGCUAUGCACUCAUGGAUUCAAAUUAUGUGGUUCGAACGCGCACAAGUGCUGCACCUUAGGGGGUGGACCAAUGGGCCAAACACCUGUGGACGCACACACAUGCUGCACCUGUGAAGCUGACAGAUGGGGGUUAAACACCUUUGGACACUCACACACAUGUCCUGCACAUCCGAAAUAGACUGAUGCAACCCAAAUGAAAAGCCUGCAGUCCGCGUGUAUUGGAGGGUUGAGGUGUUGCGUUUGAAACUCACUCCUUAGACACCUGGAGCGAUGUUCCGGGUGUGUGUGGUGCAGGUGACCCGCUGGUGACCCGCUGGUGACCCGCAGGUGACCCGCUGGUGAGCUCCCAAUGGUGUAUUUUGGCCUAGAGGAUGUGCUGAGCGGCAACUUACGGCGCCCGAAGAGGAGGUGAGCGUCUCUAGUGGCCUAUCUAGACACCUGCUAAGAUGAUCUGGCGUAAGUGCGGGGCGAGCGAGUGGCCAGACCAGAGAAGAUCGCACUCUCAAGACACUUGAGUGCUGCUGUAGCGGUGUGUAUCCCCCCUCCUCCCCCCCCUUGCACUCACACUUGCACUCAAUAAUUGACUCCCACACACGCACACACACUAGCUCAUCUCCUUCUCUUCCGUUUUACACGUUCCCGGUCAGUUGAUAUCCUCUGCACCCUCAUUGAUUGACGUAUAGUACACCUUUUAACACGCCUCGUUAUCUUAACUAACACUCGGGUUGUUUGACUGUUUAGCGGUCAUUACUGGUGUUGGUUAUCUUCACCUUCACGCCCUCAUUUCUGUAACCUUCGCACUUGUAAUUACUCACACUGUCUUGAGUCAGUCUCUCGCUUUCUCCCUCACAUCACAUCACACACACACACACACACACACACACACACACACACACACACACACACACACACACACACACACA